rnacentral:rRNA from 14 species
UACCACUCUAAAUGUGCCUGAUCUUGUCUCUCUGGGUCUAACCUGUCACACCUGGUUAGUUCUCGGAUGGGAGGCCACCUGGGAAUACUGGCUAUCGUGACAA